rnacentral:pre_miRNA from 1 species
GUAUGUGCCUGGCUCCCUGUAUGCCAUAUAUGAAGCUCAUUGAAAAAUCAAUGACCUUUGUGGAUGGCGUAUGAGGAGCCAAGCAUAUUCC